rnacentral:piRNA from 1 species
GCUCAUUUCACUCAGCUCGCCUCCUGC